rnacentral:rRNA from 1 species
AGUGAACGCUGGCGGUAGGCCUAACACAUGCAAGUCGAACGGCAGCACAGUAAGAGCUUGCUCUUACGGGUGGCGAGUGGCGGACGGGUGAGGAAUACAUCGGAAUCUACUUUUUCGUGGGGGAUAACGUAGGGAAACUUACGCUAAUACCGCAUACGACCUACGGGUGAAAGCAGGGGAUCUUCGGACCUUGCGCGAUUGAAUGAGCCGAUGUCGGAUUAGCUAGUUGGCGGGGUAAAGGCCCACCAAGGCGACGAUCCGUAGCUGGUCUGAGAGGAUGAUCGGCCACACUGGAACUGAGACACGGUCCAGACUCCUACGGGAGGCAGCAGUGGGGAAUAUUGGACAAUGGGCGAAAGCCUGAUCCAGCAAUACCGCGUGGGUGAAGAAGGCCUUCGGGUUGUAAAGCCGUUUUGUUGGGAAAGAAAAGCAGCAGGUUAAUACCCCGCUGUUCUGACGGUACCCAAAGAAUAAGCACCGGCUAACUUCGUG